rnacentral:lncRNA from 1 species
UCGUGAGAAAUAAUUAAUCUUUAUUGCUUUAAGACAUACAUUUUGAAGGGUUACACUACAGCAACAAAUAACUGAAAGAGUGAUAUGAGAAUGGGUUUGUGUUGUAAGUUUAGCAUAUUUGCACUGUGAGGUCAAGUUAUAGGAAAAUUUUCACAAAGAAAAAAAUCUUACCUGUUCUGCAUCAGGGUAAAACUCAACAUUUAAAGGUUCUUGAGGUGCCAUUCCUGCCCAACUUACAAUCCUCUGAGGUAUGUCAAAUGUGAGUGAAGGACUUUACACUAGAUACAAUUUUCAACUAACCAGUCCAAAUGAUACUGCUUGACACUUAUUGCUAAGUGUGUGGGAAACCCUGAACUACUCAAAUAUCAAUCUUACUUAUAAGUGCCAUGAGGAAUUUAUAACCCAAGACCAUAAAUUCAUACCAACCUCUAGAAGAACAGAGGCAGGUGAAUAUUAGGUGCAAGCUGACUCAAUUUAAAUCCUUAGUUGGAAAAGAAUUCAAACCUACGAGGGGUAAUAGAAGAAAAUGAUUUUGCAGUGUUUAUUAAUAUGAGAAAGUGAUAUUUAGCAGGAAGAAGUAGGAUGAUACUUUCUGUGGAGAACAACUGGAAAUGACAAAGGGAUAUUGUCCUUUUUAAGAAAUGGGUAGGAGAAAGAGUUGCUUGUAAGAAUAUAUUUUUAAAAAAUAGUAGUGUAUGACUAUUAGGACUCUUUCAUUUGCAAACAACUGAAACUAACAUAGACUUAACAAACAAAAAAACUCAAACAAAGAUUUAUUAGAUCAUGCAAUUUCUGCAGUGGCUCUAUCCCUGAGGACAAACUAGAUUAUCAGGACUGAGUCUGGUUGUCUUCCUUUCCUGGCAUGUGAACUCAUUCUGAUGUCUAGAAAGCUUGGUAGUAUGUUAGGCAUCUAUUUGGUACUACCAGAAGUCCCAGCCACCCAAGCCCAGAAAACUUUAUUGAGUGUGUGUGUGCAUGUGCAUGUGUGCGCGCGUGCAUGCAAGCACAUAGGGGCAGAGUGUGGAAGUGGGGAGGUGCUUUGAUUGCCCAGUUUCCACAUCAUAUAUCAAUCUUUAAAACCAAGGAAAUAGCUCCACCCAAACCACAUGUCCUGAGAGUCUGAGAGUGGUGUUUUUCCAAAGAAAGUCAGGAUGAAGGUUCAAGAAAGGUUAAAAGGUGGCUGAAUAGAAAAAAAAAAAAAGGAAUUAAAAAUCAUGUCCAUAUAAUCAAUGUACUUUUAAUAUAAUAAUGCUUAUAUUUUAAACAUCUCUAGGCUAAGACAUAAAAGUGAAGGAACUUUUUCCUUUCUAUCUUGACUUAGCAACUUAUUGAUUGUACCAAUAUGUAGGUGAGUUACAAAAGUGAGGAUUUUUGGUAGUCUUUAACCUACAGUUUUCCUAUUUCUUUCUAUAUAGGUAAUAGAUCUUUUGAGAAAACUGCUCUUAAAAAAGUAAAAUAUUUCAUCUUAAAAAUGUUCUUAUUUGAAAUUCCACAACAUUCUUAAUGAAAAAAAUAUUAUCUGCAUAAUUACAUUAAAUGGCUUCUGGAAUACAUUACCACUAAUGAUGCCAAUAGAGUUAGUCCAGAUGCAAACUAUAAAAACAUCCAUU